UGCUGUUUGACUAACCAGUGUUUCCUGAAGUUCAAUAAUUUAUUUUUUUGUUUUUAAACUGUUAAAUUGAAAUUUAGCACAAAUACAGAAAAUAUACAAAACAUAACUAUCCAUAUCAAUGAAUUAUCCGUGGGAAUGUCCAAGGAACUCCUUUUGAAAUCAAACAUAUCAGAAGCCCCCUUCACGUCUUCUUUCAGAAACUUAACCCUCUCUUCUUUCUAAAGUUGAGGUGCUCCAUAAGGACAAAUACCUACAGUUCUACCCUUGCAAUGAUUGGCCUAUUUCUAAUUGGAUUUGAAAUUACAUUCUUUUUAAUCAAACGAGAAAAAAUUGUAUGGAUUCAGGUAAGUAAAAGAUUUUAUAAAUUUUUUUUUCACAAUCAGAGGUUUAUACAUUAAGUUUGUUUGUAAAUGAGCUGAGAAUAUUUUGGUUUUGAACAAAUGUGGAAGUGGUAGAAAUUAUUCACAUGUAGU
rnacentral:lncRNA from 1 species